GGGUUAGUAGGUUGGUCAUGCCUCUGGUAUGUACUGGUCUCACUGAUUCCUCCUUCCUGAUGAACCUUAAUGCCAUUAAUUUGUUGUUUUGGGGAAUUUGGACUGUUACUUUGAAAAAAUUAGAGUGUUUAAAGCAAUCUAACGCUUGAAUACAAUAGCAUGGAAUAAUGAUAUAGGACGUUCGAUCCUAUUUUGUUGGUUUCUAGGAUUGACGUA
rnacentral:rRNA from 1 species